rnacentral:rRNA from 1 species
GACGAACGCUGGCGGCGUGCUUAACACAUGCAAGUCGAACGGAAAGGCCCUGCUUUUGUGGGGUUCUCGAGUGGCGAACGGGUGAGUAACACGUGAGUAACCUGCCCUUGACUUUGGGAUAUCUUCAGGAAACUGGGGCUAAUAUCGGAUAGGAGCUCCUGCUGCACGGUGGGGGUUGGAAAGUUUCGGCGGUUGGGGAUGGACUCGCGGCUUAUCAGCUUGUUGGUGAGGUAGUGGCUUACCAAGGCUUUGAAGGGUAGCCGGCCUGAGAGGGUGAACGGGCACAUUGGGACUGAGAUACGGCCCAGAAGCGUACGUGAGGCAACAGUGGGGAACAUGGCGCAGUGGGCGGGAGCCUGAUACAGCAACGCCGGGUGCGGGAUGACGGCCUACGGGUUAUAAACCGCUUUCGCCUGAGACGAAGCGUGCGUGACGGUAAUGGGUAAAGAAGCACCGGCUAACUACGUG